rnacentral:tRNA from 3 species
GCCUCGAUGGUGAAAUUGGUAGACACAUCGCACUUAAAAUGCGCCGCCUAACGGCGUCCCGGUUCGAGUCCGGGUCGAGGCACCA